GACACACCUGAUAACAGAAUACAGGUAAGAGACAGGAAUACCACCAUCACACAUCCUAGAGACACACCUGAUAACAGAAUACAGGUAAGAGACAGGAAUACCACCAUCACACAUCCUAGAGACACACCUGAUAACAGAAUACAGGUAAGAGACUAAGUCAUCAUGUGUUUGACCCUUUAUGUUUCUCUGAAUUAAAGAAUGUUUCUGUCUCUUCUUGUUCAAUGCAAGAACUCAACUAAUAGAAACAGAAAAUGCUGAGUCAUGCUGCUAACCACCAACUCAUGUUUUAAAUAG